UCAAUAUGGUUGUUGAUAGUGGUGGAAGAAUUCAACAUGUGUAACAAUUGACAGAUCAACAGUGGUGGAAGAACUCAACAUGUUAAAUGCAAUGUUAUUCAUGACAUGCAAACUUUAAGACUUAUGGUGAUAAUGAAGAACAUACAAAUACUAUUGCAAAUUCAGCUGCUAAUCAUAAUUAUUUCUUUGUAAUUGUUCAUAACUUUAAGAGAAAGAAGGUGUAUAUAUUCAAGACUGCAAAAAUUCUUAGGCUUUGGUGUUUGGAGGGGAGGGGAGGGGAGGGGAGGGAAGGGAAGGGAAGGGGAAAAGAGGGUUCCAAAUAAUAAAUUAUUUUUUAAAUUUAGAAAAAUCUUUAAUAUUUUUUUUUUAAAAAAUAUUUUGUUUAGGAUGAUAAAAUAAUGCUUAUCAUAUUUUUAUUUUUGAAAUAGUAUAACAACGAAAGUUAUUUGAACAAUUUGUUUAAACCCUUUAAAACGCUUCUCCAAUACGAGUUCCUCCAAAUAUUUUGGUGUUAUGAUUAAACACAAACCCUUCUAACACAAACUUUUCUACUUUUUUCACUCAAUUCUUCCUAUUUUUCAAAAUACUCCCCUCCCUUUCCCUCCAAACUCCCAAACAAAACCUAAUAAAUAAUCUUGUUAAAACUUAU
rnacentral:lncRNA from 1 species